AUUGAACGCUGGCGGAAUGCUUUACACAUGCAAGUCGAACGGCAGCACGAGGGCAACCUUGGUGGCGAGUGGCGAACGGGUGAGUAAUACAUCGGAACGUGCCCAGUCGUGGGGGAUAACGUAGCGAAAGCUACGCUAAUACCGCAUACGAUCUAUGGAUGAAAGCGGGGGACCGUAAGGCCUCGCGCGAUUGGAGCGGCCGAUGGCAGAUUAGGUAGUUGGUGGGGUAAAGGCUCACCAAGCCUGCGAUCUGUAGCUGGUCUGAGAGGACGACCAGCCACACUGGAACUGAGACACGGUCCAGACUCCUACGGGAGGCAGCAGUGGGGAAUUUUGGACAAUGGGCGCAAGCCUGAUCCAGCCAUUCCGCGUGCAGGAUGAAGGCCUCGGUUGUAACUGCUUUGUACGGUAACGAAAGGUUUACCGUUAAUUACGGUAGAGCGUC
rnacentral:rRNA from 1 species